AUGUCCUCCUCAUCGCAAGUUUCCUCCCCUAGCCUCAACUACACCACUUCCGAGCCACUCAAUCGCAGCAACUACAUCCUCUGGAAAGCCCAAGCUCGUUCCCAGAUUAUGGGAGCAGGGCUAUAUGGGUACAUCGAUCAAUCAACUCCUGAACCACCCAAAACCAUCGUGACCAAAAACUCUGAAGGGAAAGAUCAGAUCGCCCCCAACCCCGCCUACAACCCCUGGCUUGUCCAGGAUCAGCAGAUCGUGGCCUUUCUUCUGCGGAAUCUCUCCAAGGAAGUUCUCAUCCAAGUAGCGUCCUUAGAACAAUCUCAUGCCAUCUGGUCUGCCCUAGCAAAGAUGUUCGCCGCUCAAUCCCGUUCCCGUGAGAACAACUGUCACAUAGCUCUCUCCAACGCCCAGAACGGCACCCAGAAUGCCUCCACCUACUUCGGCCACAUGAGAGCCCUCUCCGAUAAGUUAGCUGCGGCUGGAAAGCCCAUCACCAACCACGAACUUCUCUCCUUCAUCAUUGGGGGGAUGGAUAUGGACUAUCAACCUCUCAUAUCGGCGCUGGAUGUGCGCGUGGAACCCCUGUCCAUGGACGCUCUCUUCGGCAUGGUCGCUAACUUUGACCAAGGCGUCGAGAUGUUCCAAGGAACGGGGGCAGGAGCCUUCAAGUCAUCUGCAAAUCUUGCUGCUCGAGGCCGCGGCGGGUCUUCCCAAGGCUACCACAAGGGUGGUGGUGGCGGGGGCUCUCGCGACGGCAGCAGCUAUGGUGGUGGCGGCAGCAGCGGCGGCGGGAACAACUACAACACCGGCAACAACCACUAG
rnacentral:rRNA from 1 species